CAUGGCCGGGUCAUUGGGGAGUAGCCGCUCUUCGUCGCGAAGAGGCCCACGUCAACACACUUGGCCCAACGGCCAUGGCGCGGGCAGUUUCCAUGCCUGGCAAGACCUUUGACCACUGCGCCUCCGAGAUGGCCGGGGAUGCGCGGUGGUCAUUCGUCCGUUGUCCGGCCUGGAACAU
rnacentral:sRNA from 2 species